rnacentral:rRNA from 1 species
AUUAAUAGAAAAGUUACCGUAGGGAUAACAGCGUAAUUUUUCUGGAGAGUUCUUAUCGAUAGAAAAGUUUGCGACCUCGAUGUUGGAUUAGAAUUCCUUUUAGGUGUAGCUGCUUAAUAAGGAGGUCUGUUCGACCUUUUAAUUUCUACAUGAUCUGAGUUCAAACCGGUGUAAGCCAGGUUGGAUUCUAUCUUUAAUAUAAAAAUUUUAAGUUUAGUACGAAAGGACCAAUUUAAAUAAAUAUUUUAUUAUU